rnacentral:rRNA from 1 species
GUGCUGACGAGUGGCGGACGGGUGAGUAAUACGUAGGAAUCUGCCUAAUGGAGUGGGAUAACCUAGGGAAACUUAGGGUAAUACCACAUAAGCCUUACGAGGUAAAGCAGGGGAUCGCAAGACCUUGCGCUAUUAGAUGAGCCUACGUCGGAUUAGCUUGUUGGUGGGGUAAAGGCCUACCAAGGCGACGAUCCGUAGCUGGUCUGAGAGGACGACCAGCCACACUGGGACUGAGACACGGCCCAGACUCC